rnacentral:rRNA from 1 species
GAUGAACGCUGGCGGCGUGCCUAAUACAUGCAAGUCGAGCGAACAGACGAGGAGCUUGCUCCUCUGACGUUAGCGGCGGACGGGUGAGUAACACGUGGAUAACCUACCUAUAAGACUGGGAUAACUUUGGGAAACCGGAGCUAAUACCGGAUAAUAUAUUGAACCGCAUGGUUCAAUAGUGAAAGACGGUUUUGCUGUCACUUAUAGAUGGAUCCGCGCCGCAUUAGCUAGUUGGUAAGGUAACGGCUUACCAAGGCGACGAUGCGUAGCCGACCUGAGAGGGUGAUCGGCCACACUGGAACUGAGACACGGUCCCGACUCCUACCGGAGGCAGCAGUAGGGAAUCUUCCGCAAUGGGGGAAAGCCUUACGGAGCAACGCCGCGUGAGUGAUGAAGGUCUUCGGAUCGUAAAACUCUGUUAUUAGGGAAGAACAAAUGUGUAAGUAACUAUGCACGUCUUGACGGUACCUAAUCAGAAAGCCACGGCUAACUACGUG